GGGUAUCUUCAAUGUCAAGUUGUGCCCAUCAUUCUUUAUGACAGAUAAAGAUGGGUUUAGGUUGACGCUAGCUUCAAAAGCGUCAUGAAAAGUCUACUUUUUCUAAUGAUUUUGUUGACGAACGAAAAAGUACGUCAAUAAUUCAGGGUUAAAGGUAGAGAAUUGGGAAUGGUGCUUAUAUAUACAUCCACAGGGACCCCUGGUUGAAGGAUGCUAGCCCUAAAACUCCUUUUUGCUUGAACAAAAACAUGCAGUCCAAACAUGUUCCUUGAUCUCAAGGGGAAUUGGAAUUGUUCUUUAAUUAGCGAAUCCUUUCUCCCUAUUGAUGCCAAGACCAUUAUGAGCAUGCCAAGGAUGGAUUGUAGGGGAGCUGAUGAGGUUAUCUGGGGCUUGGAGUCGAAAGGUUGCUUUUCGGUUAAGAAUGUUUAUAAUUUAGCGGUUAGUGAGAAGGUUGCGAUGCUUGUAUCUGGAUUGGAUUCUCUUAGGUCUAAGCCCCUUUGGAAUUCGGUCUGGAAGCUUAAGGUGCUGCCUAAAGGGAAGUGUUGUGUGGAAAACAAUCAACAAUUAUCAUUCCUACCUUGGUAAUAUUAUUAAGAAAGGUGUUAUUACUAAUCCUCUUUGUUUGUUUUGCAGGAAGUAUGUGGAGUAUUUGAGUCAUGUGUUCUGGGAAUGCAAAUUCAUGGGCGUUUGGCGCGCAGGUUUAAAAUCAAAAGCCUAGAUGCUUAUUUGAGAGGGUUUUGAUGUCUGGGAAUCACAAAUGACUAUGUUUAGGGGGCAGGGAUUGAAUGCUUGAGUUUUUGAAGCCUGUGUUUUGAAAGAACCUGUGAAGGCUCCGCAAUGGAAGCGGGGAUCGUUCCCAAUUUUUGUUUUCACAGAACUUUAAUUUACAGAACAAAGACAAGAAAAAUUAUGCAUUAAACAUUAAAUUUACAACAUGCUUAGGGGAGAAUUAGGAAAGAAAAGAACGCCUACCUUUGAAGAAAUUACAGUCUUCACGAAUUCCCUCAAUCUGAAUCACAAACUCUUCGUUCUGGAUCUUGAUCUUCCAAAAAGAAAAUCCCAAAUAGUCACCACAAAUUGGAACCUCUUGUAUUCUCCUUAGGAGUUGAGAAUUAGCAGGAGGUGUGGGCUCUGCUAAGUUAUUUGGAAAGAUAGAGGAGAGGAUUUGAGAGGAAGAAGAAGAAAAACCCUUGAUCUUAGGGUGAAAAGCCAGAGAGAGAUGCUUGUUUUCUUCUUUCUCUACGUAAAAAAUGUAAGCAAGAAGAACCAACGUCUCAUAACCCUUUCAACACCACCAAUGAUGGCACUAGAAAAAAUUCGGGCUUUAAUGUCGGUUGAAAAAAGUGAAAUCGAAUGUAUAAUGUCGGUUUUUUUUAAAAAAAACAAAACGGAUCUUUAAUGUCGGUUUUAAACCGACAUUGAAGAUAGGCUUUAAUGUCGGUUUAACCGACAUUAAAGGUGUAAUUUUUUUUUCCUUAUUUUAUUAAAUAAUAUAACCCUAAAUCGUGGCUCCUUCUCUUUUUUACCUUUUGCGCCGACAUUAAAUAAUAUAACCUUAAAUCGCCGUCGCUUCUUAUCUUCGUUAUCAGCUUUCUUCCCUCGCCAUCUGUUGAUCGUUCUUCACGCCGUUUGUCGAUCAUUCACGCGAUUUAGGUAUUUUGAUAUUUUUCUUUAAAACUUCGUGGAUAGAUAUCAUCUUUGUUAGCUUUAAGAGUGUUUCACUUCAUUAUAUGUUGAUAUAGAUGUUGUCCUUCUAAUUUUUAAAGCUAAUUGAUAAAGACGAGAUAUCUAUUUUUUUCUCCUUUGAAAUGAUGUUAUAAGAUAAGGAAAAGAGAAAGAAGGGGAAAAAAGGUGAAGAGUGUCCUAAGUAAAGAAUCUACUGCAAUCAAUUAAGAAGAGAAUUUAUCAUGGCUCAGCUUAUUCUCUAUUUCUCUCUCUAGUCAAAAAGUAUUUCCCACAAAAUAAAUUUGGAUUCAAAUCAAUUCCCCCCCCCCAACACACACACAAACAAAACCAAUUUCCAUUCAGAUUUGAAUUGAAUGGUUCAAAAUCACUAUCAUUAUGAAAUGAGAAUACACACAACCAAAAGAAAAGUUUAUGCAACUUUAAUAAGACUAUUUCAGAGGAGGAGAUCGUAGACAGGUCCAAUCCAUUGAAACAAACACCAUUUUCCACUUCUAGAGUCUAUUUGUUGUGUGCUAGCAUGUUUCAGGCUUCUAUUGUAAUUUAUAUAUUAUUUAUGGCUACAUAUUGAUCAUCUUGAAUCAUGUGUUUUGGCUAAAUAAUAGCAUGUUGUGAUGUCAUGUAGUAAUGUAAUAGCUUACGUGUGAAUGAGUUAUUAAGUGAUAUGGUGCAUAUGACUUUGUUGAUAGUUUGGUUGUGCAUAUGAUUAUGUUGGAGGCAUGUUGUUAUUUUAUGUAUUUUGACAUGAGAUAUGGUUUAGGAUUAUAUGGUAGAAAUCAUGCAUUGGUGAGAUUUUGUGAGAAGAGGGUUGAAAACCUUGUGAACUUGUAAAGAAAAUGUCUCAAUGUUGGAGGCAUGUUGUUACUUUAUGUGUUUUGGCAUGAAAUUUUUGUUCUUAUGUUUACGCCUCUCAACUGUUUGUGUAAAUGUCUCAAUGAAAGCCAGCUAUGAUUUCACUCCAAUAUGUCUCUCUGCUCCUAGAUUUUGGCCUUUUUAUGUGACUAUGGCCUUUGAAAUUCGAUUUGAUUAAUGGUUUUGUUGUAUAUGAUACAUUUGUUGAAUUACUUGAAGUUUUAAUGCAUAAUUACUUGCUACCUUUUGUGAUAACAUCCUUAAGAAAGGUAGGAAUGAGAAGUGGAGUGAUGAAACAAUUAAGGAGACACUUGAGAAGUUGGGAGAAAUCUAGCAAUUUGGAUGUGGGUAGUUGUUAGCCUAAGCAUAUUGGAAAAUAAUAAGUGUUAUCUCCUGGACUGUGGUGCUGAAAUAUUUGUUUGGGUUGGAAGAGUGACACAGUAGAGGAGCGAAAAGCAACAAUUCAAGUAGCUGAGGAAUUUAUUGCCAGCCAGAAUAGGCCAAAGGAAACUCGUGUGACUCGGAUUAUACAAGGCUAUGAAACACAUUCUUUUAAGUCCAACUUCGAGUCCUAGCCAGUUGGAUCAGUGACUACAGGUGCUGAGGAAGGAAGAGGUAUGGCGAAUCAAUGGCAGUGCCAAAACUCCAUUGUUUGUAGAGGAUAUUGGUAAAUUUUAUAGUGGAGACUGCUACAUCAUUCUUUACACCUACCACUCUGGUGAGAGGAAAGAAGAUUAUUUCUUGUGCUCUUGGUUUGAAAAGGAUAGAAUCGAGGAAGAUCAAAAGAUGGCUACACGGUUGACGAAUACAAUGUCCAACUCGUUGAAAGGGAGAUCUGUUUAGACUCGUAUAUUUCAAGGCAAAGAGCCACCCCAAUUUAUUGACCUCUUUCAACCUUUUGUGGUACUCAAAGUGGGUGGCUUGAGCUUUAGUUACAAGAAACUCAUAGCAGAUAAAGCUUUGGCUAAUGAAACUUACACAGAAGAUUCUGUUGCCCUUAUUAGGAUAUCACAAACAUCCAUUCACAACAAUAAAGCAAUGCAAAUUGAAGUUGUUGCAACCUCAUGGAACUCUACUGAGUGUUUUGUCCUGCAAUCCGGCUCUUCUGUUUUCUCUUGGCAUGGAAACCAAAGUACAUUCGAGCAGAACAGUUAGCUGGCAAAAGUUGCAGAGUUUCUAAGGCUAAGUGCUCAGACAAAGAUGCCUAUAACCAGACACUGCUGAAGUUGGGGGGUCUGUUCAAGAAGAAUUAU